AAUCAAACUGAAUACAAACCGUAGACAGUAGGUGCUUGCCUUUAGCUUAAUUUUGCCUACCGAGGUAAUUUAUAAUAGAUUUUGAUUAUAAGCCUCUCUAUGUCUACGUAGGAGAGGCUUUUUAUAUGAGAGU
rfam:Clostridium halophilum strain M1 genome assembly, contig: G325DRAFT_scaffold00031.31